UGAGGAAUAUUGGUCAAUGGACGCAAGUCUGAACCAGCCAAGUAGCGUGCAGGAUGACGGCCCUAUGGGUUGUAAACUGCUUUUAUAUGGGGAUAAAGUGGGGAACGUGUUCCCUUUUGCAGGUACCAUAUGAAUAAGGACCGGCUAAUUCCGUGCCAGCAGCCGCGGUAAUACGGAAGGUUCGGGCGUUAUCCGGAUUUAUUGGGUUUAAAGGGAGCGUAGGCCGUUUGGUAAGCGUGUUGUGAAAUGUAGGAGCUCAACUUCUAGAUUGCACCGCGAACUGUCAGACUUGAGUGCCCACAACGUAGGCGGAAUUCAUGGUGUAGCGGUGAAAUGCUUAGAUAUCAUGAAGAACUCCGAUUGCGAAGGCAGCUUACGGGACCGCAACUGACGCUGAAGCUCGAAGGUGCGGGUAUCGAACAGG
rnacentral:rRNA from 1 species